rnacentral:rRNA from 1 species
GAUGAACGCUGGCGGCGUGCCUAAUACAUGCAAGUCGAGCGAAAAGACGAGGAGAUUGCUCCUCUGCCGUUAGCGGCGGGCGGGUGGGUAACACGUGGAUAACAAACCUAUAAGACUGGGAUAAUUACGGGAAACCGGAGCUAAUAACGGCUCAUAUAUUGAACGGCUUGGAUCAAUAGUGAAAGACGGCUUUGCUGUCACUAAUAGACGGAUCCGCGCCGCAUUAGCUAGUUGGUAAGGUAACGGCUCACCAAGGCAACGAAGCGUAGCUGACCUGAGAGGAUGAUCGGCCACACUGGAACUGAGACACGGUCCAGACUCCUACGGGAGGCAGCAGUGGGGAAUCUUCCGCAAUGGGCGAAAGCCUGACCGAGCAAUGCCGCGUGAGUGAUGAAGGUCUUCGGAUCGUAAAGCUCUUUUAUUGGGGAAGAAAAGAAGUAGGUUUAACUAUGGACGUCUUGACGGUACCUAAACAGAAAGCCACGGCUAACUUCGUG